UUAGGUUAAGUUAUGAAGGGCGCAUGGUGAAUGCCUUGGUACUAGGAGCCGAUGAAGGACGGGACUAACACCGAUAUGCUUCGGGGAGCGGUAAGUACGCUUUGAUCCGGAGAUUUCCGAAUGGGGCAACCCAAUCAGCUUAGUCGCUGAUUACUUGACUAGUGAAUACAUAGCUAGCAAGAGGUAGACGCAGUGAACUGAAACAUCUUAGUAGCUGCAGGAAGAGAAAGAAACAUCGAUUCCCUGAGUAGCGGCGAGCGAAAAGGGAAGAGCCCAAACCAACAAGCUUGCUUGUUGGGGUUGUAGGACUGAACAUUAGAGUUACCAAAGUGCGACGUAGUCGCAACAGUUGGGAAGCUGUGCCAUAGAGGGUGAAAGCCCCGUAGACGAAACGUCACACUCUCUGUUCAGGAUCCUGAGUACGGCGGGAC
rnacentral:rRNA from 2 species